rnacentral:rRNA from 1 species
AGAGUUUGAUCCUGGCUCAGAACGAACGCUGGCGGCGUGCCUAACACAUGCAAGUCGAACGUGAUUAGAGAGCUUGCUCUUUAUGAAGGUGGCGCACGGGUGAGUAACGCGUAGAUAAUCUACCUGAUGAUCCGGGAUAACACUUCGAAAGGGGUGCUAAUACCUGAUAAGCCCACGGGGUCUUCGGACUCUGCGGGAAGAGGGGGGGACCUUUAUCGGCCUUCCGUCAUCAGAUGAGUCUGCGUACCAUUAGCUAGUUGGUAGGGUAAAGGCCUACCAAGGCGACGAUGGUUAGCUGGUCUGAGAGGAUGAUCAGCCACACUGGAACUGAGACACGGUCCAGACUCCUACGGGAGGCAGCAGUGGGGAAUUUUGCGCAAUGGGGGAAACCCUGACGCAGCAACGCCGCGUGAGUGAUGAAGGCCCUUGGGUCGUAAAGCUCUGACAGAGGGAAAGAAGUGUAGAGUGGCUAAUAUCCACAUUACUUGACGGUACCCUCAAAGGAAGCACCGGCUAACUCCGUGCCAGCAGCCGCGGUAA